rnacentral:ribozyme from 1 species
AGGCGGACACUCAGCAAAAGGGUGGCCCGAGAGGGCGACCGCCUGGACACGAACGCAACACGGCGCCGGGCACGAUGACGGGCCAACCACGCGUGAGGAGAGAAGGCGAC